AUAUCACUAAGCGGAGGAAAAGAAAAUAACUAUGAUUGCCUCAGUAACGGCGAGUGAAGCGGCAAGAGCCCAAAAUGUAAAUCUUCACACUGCGUGUGACGAAUUGUAAUCUAAAGAUGGUUCGCUCACCGGACGGUGGUGCAGAAGUGCCCUAGAACGGGCCGCCAGAGAGGGUGACAGCCCCGUAUGCGGUGCCACUGUCUAACGAGCGGGUUAUCGAAGAGUCGGGUUGUUUUGUAUUGCAGCCCUAAGUGGGAGAUAAACUUCUUCUAAGGCUAAAUAUAUAUGGGAAACCGAUAGCGAACAAGUACUGUGAAGGAAAGAUGAAAAGAACUUUGAAAAGAGAGUCAAAAGACUUGAAAUCGUUGAGAAGGAAGCGGUAGAAAUUUAUUCUUCGGCGGAGGACGGUGGCGGCUGCCUAACCAUUGCUGGCUUUCAGAACCGCAAGGGCUGUAGUUAGCACUUGGGGAAGCGGCCGUUUUGCCCUCCGUCGUGAGGCAAGAUGGGGUCGUGCUCCCGCAGAGGCUUCUCCAACCUGGCCUGAUUCGUCAGGCAGUUGGAGUGUGCUGGCGGGGUUGCGGCCUGAGGGUGCUUCGUGCGAUCUUGCCAAAAUGGUUUUUACCGA
rnacentral:rRNA from 1 species